AUUGAACGCUGGCGGCAUGCUUUACACAUGCCAGUCGAACGGCAGCGCAGGCUUCGGCCUGGCGGCGAGUGGCGAACGGGUGAGUAAUACAUCGGAACGUGCCCAGUAGUGGGGGAUAGCUCGGCGAAAGCCGGAUUAAUACCGCAUACGACCUGAGGGUGAAAGCGGGGGAUCUUCGGACCUCGCGCUAUUGGAGCGGCCGAUGGCAGAUUAGCUAGUUGGUGGGGUAAAGGCCUACCAAGGCGACGAUCUGUAGCUGGUCUGAGAGGACGACCAGCCACACUGGGACUGAGACACGGCCCAGACUCCUACGGGAGGCAGCAGUGGGGAAUUUUGGACAAUGGGCGAAAGCCUGAUCCAGCAAUGCCGCGUGUGUGAUGAAGGCCUUCGGGUUGUAAAGCACUUUUGGCGGGAACGAAAAGGACUGUGCCAAUACCACGGUUCGAUGACGGUACCCGCAGAAUAAGCACCGGCUAACUACGUG
rnacentral:rRNA from 1 species